UACGUAGGGGGCAAGCGUUGUCCGGAUUUAUUGGGCGGAAAGAGCGUGUAGGCGGUUAGGUAGGUCCGAUGUGAAAACUCGAGGCUCAACCUCGAGACGCCGAUGGAAACCAUCUAACUAGAGUCCGGAAGAGGAGAGUGGAAUUCCUGGUGUAGCGGUGAAAUGCGCAGAUAUCAGGAAGAACACCGGUGGCGAAGGCGGGUCUCUGGGCAGUAACUGACGCUGAGGAGCGAAAGCGUGGGGAGCGAACAGG
rnacentral:rRNA from 1 species